GCUGGGCAUGGUGGCCCACACCUGUAAUCCCAGAGACUGAGGAGGCUGAGGCAGAGGAUCAUAACUUUGAGGCCAGACCCAGCAAUUUAGCAAGGCCCUAAGCAACUUCAUGAGAUUCUGUCUCAA
rnacentral:sRNA from 1 species